rnacentral:rRNA from 1 species
CCUACGGGUGGCAGCAGUGAGGAAUAUUGGUCAAUGGCCGGAAGGCUGAACCAGCCAAGCCGCGUGAAGGACGAAGGUGCCAAGCAUUGUAAACUUCUGUUGUCAAGGGACAAAAUCAGGCGCGAGAGCAGGACCGAGGGGACGGGAAGAAAAAGCAUCGGAUAACUCCGUGCCAGCAGCCGCGGUAAUACGGAGGAUGCGAGCGUUAUCCGGAUUUAUUGGGUUGAAAGGGUGCGUAGGCGGACUGUUAAGUCAGCGGUAAAAGCCCGGGGCUCACCCCCGGCGAGCCGUUGAAACUGGCUGUCUUGCGCUGUCGAGAGUUAUGCGGCAUG